UGAGUUGAGUAGAGGGUCGCGUCCCGAUCGUAAUCCUACCAUCGGGAUGAGGAAAGUCCGGACUCCACAGGGCAGGGUGCUGGGUAACCCCCAGGAGCGGCGACGCUAUGGAAAGUGCAACAGAGAGUAGACUACAAUGCCUACUUUUAUAUAAGAAGUUGGGCGUUGUACAGGUGAAACGGUGCGGUAAAAGCGCACCAGUCCAUAAGGUGACUUAU
rnacentral:RNase_P_RNA from 1 species